rnacentral:rRNA from 1 species
AUACGGAAGGUCCGAGCGUUAUCCGGAUUUAUUGGGUUUAAAGCGAGCGUAGGCGGGAUGCCAAGUCAGUUGUGAAAGUCCGCGGCUCGACCGUGGAAUUGCAGUUGAGACUGGUAUUCUUGAGUGUACAUAAAGGAGGUGGAAUUUGUGGUGUAGCGGUGAAAUGCUUAGAUAUCACGAAGAACUCCGAUUGCGAAGGCAGCCUUCGGGGGUACUACUGACGCUGAGGCUCGAAAGUGCGGGAAUCAAACAGGAUUAGAUACCCUGGUAGUCCGCACCGUAAACGAUGGACACUCGUGGUUGGCCCCUGUGGUCAGUCACCCAGCGAAAGCGUUAAGUGUCCCACCUGGGGAGUACGCCGGCAACGGUGAAACUCAAAUGAAUUGACGGGG